CUCCACUUUUUACCCGAAUGGAUGAAUUUCUUUGUAGGACCCACUAGGACUAAACUAGAAGAGUUUUGCUCUAUGCUCCGGAUCCAGUCGUAGGGAAAAAAGACCCUUUUAUUUUUGGGGACUCCUACAAGGAGGAGCACAUCGUUCCCGAUGGAAGCUCAUGGAUGCCAUGGUGCUGGACACAUAGAUGUCCUCCCUGCAUGUUUUGAACAAAUAAGGUCAUGAAUGCAGUUUGCUGACAUUACUUUUGACACCUACUCUCCUGUAACGGAAGCACUAAGUUUUGUGGAGGAUUCCGAAGGUUGUGCUACGAAACACCUGCCUACAGCGCCUGGCGACCUGGCCGGAGGAAACAAGAUUAAAGGAGACACAGUUAAGAGUGAAGGAGGUUGUGAGUGCAUGAAAACUUCUGCUCAGGAGUGCUAGCUCUGACCUGGAGCCACGUAGACUUUCUUCUUCCUCCGGGAGGUCAGUUCUUCAAAGCGCCAACAGCUGAUCUCAUGUCUUCCUGGCUUCUUCUCCCCAAACUCCUUUCAAACCUUUGUGCAAUGACUCUGUGCUUUUUUCAGACCACCAAGCCCACGGGAGCAAGAGGUGAGCAAUCGUCCACGGCUGCUUGCUUUGGGCUCCCCGCUACGCCACGAGACAGCGCUAGAUGGCGCUAUAGUCAAGGCCCCAUAGGGUGCUCUAGGAAUUUGGGACUAUAGGACAUUGCCCACUCCUCCAGCACCAUCAUGCAUCAUCGUCCUGAUUUCCUCAGUGAUCACUGUAAGUCCAAAUGCAGCUCCUGGAAUGAUUCACAAUCACUCCAUUCUGCUCUGCGUGUGAUGAGGACGCCAGUGUUUCACGGUCCACUGCCCUGUCUUCUCUCGAGGACAGCAAAGCGGUUUUCCUUUGAAGAACCACUCCCCUACUUGCCAACGUGCUUCUUGUGGGUCCUGCCUACCACGGGUGCCACUUAGAGAUGGGUCCCCGCUGGCCGCAGUGGCCGACUCAGCGUGCAAGGUCACCAGGCCGGCGCUGAGGACCCUGGAGCCGCUGCAUCGGGGCUGCCGCCUGAGAUUCCCGCUGAACCGGGGACAGCGGGGCACGGUGAGCAAGGAGAGGCUCAGGGAGCACCACGUGGGUCCCAGGUCCCGUCAGGAUGGAAGCUGCCGCCCACGGGCCUCCCCGUAGUGCCAGCAAGCAAAUCCUCCUCUCUUCUGCAUAGUCCGGUUUGAGUUUGGGUUUUGACAUCUGGACCUGAGAAUUAUAAUAUAAUCCCUAAGCUGACCCUACCUCCUGCCCCAUCCUGGGGGCAUUUCAUCGCACCCCCUUGGAGCACUUUCUGGGUGACCACUGCUGUCACCAUCUUGCCUGAGACACACGGUCCACCUCCUUUAGAUGGGCAAAACCUGGUUCCCUGCGACCCUCAGAAGAGCAUUUCCGAUUCUGUGGCCCCCACCAGUACUGUUCCCGUCAUGAAUACACGGGGUUCUUAGCAUUUGCUUAGGAUCAUUUAUAAUAAUGAUAUAUACACUCUGGGCCAUUCCAUAGUAAUUAAAAUCAUGUUUUAGAAGAAUUCUUAAUGAUGUUGAAAUAAGUGAGAAAUACAUUUUCACAUGCAAAAUUAUCACAGAAAGAUGCAGAAGGAAGGGAAUUCUGUCAGCUCUCUUUAUCUGAAGGAGAAAAUUGCAUCUGUACAGAAUAUAUUCAAACUUUUUUCAUUCUCUUGUUCCUCCAACAGUAGAGUACGCUACCUGCAUAACACUGACCCUGUACCAGGUAUCCCAGUAGAUGACUUGAGGCACACAGGGGAUAGGCAUAGGAUAUAGCUGAAUACACACCAUUACAUAUAAGAGACUUGAACAUCUUCAGAUUUUAGGAUCUGUGUGUGUGUGUGUGUGUGUGUGUGUGUGUGUGUAUGUGGUUUCCUGGAAAAAAAGGAAACUGAGGGCCAGUUUUAUUUGAAAGGGUCAAAGUCAUUACUUUGGGGUGAUGGAAUGAUUAGUCAUUUUUCCAUUCUUUUAUUGUCUGUAUAUGAUAACAUUUUUAUAGUGAGAUUGUAUUACAAAUGCUAUAGGAAGCAAAC